GUUCUAGUAAUGGUGGGCCUCAAGCCACAGAAUAUUUGUGCCAAAGAUUUAAUAUCUCAGGAAUAAAGUCAUGGUCCAGAAGCUUUUUCUGACUCGUGAAGCAAGUAUUAAAAACCAUUACAUAUAUUCUUUAGCUACAGUUGCAUUAUUUCCUUCAGUGUGAAGAUUUCAAUAAUUCAUUGCAAAAAAAUUUCUGCGUCAAAGAAAUGUAGCAUUUUAAAUUCCUUCUUGUAAUACCGCGAAUUUCAUGUAAUUUUGUUAUAUGGAGAACUGUGGAAUGCAGGUAAACAUUUGUAAUGGAAACACACAGUAAUAACAGAUACAGUUUUAUAGCUGGAGAUUAUGCUUAUUCACUUUCUUCGGGAAAUGUGUGCGGUUUGUCAUAGGCCUUUGUUAUUCCAGAUUUUAGUGUUUUGCAGCUGAAGUUGGGAUUCAAACAUAUUCAUGAGGCCUGUAAGGAGGAAAGAAGCAGACACUGCAUCAGAAGAGUCAUGUGAGGGUCAUUGCUGUUCAUAUUGUGAGCUAAGUUACUAAGUGUAUCUCCUGGUUGUUGUAGAUCACGCUCACCACGUAGGCGUUCGCACAGCAGAUCGCGUUCCAGGAGUCGCUCUCCCAGGCGUUCACGCUCUGAUUCCAGAGACAGGCGAUGAAUGUUUUGUGUGAACAUAUUUCAAUGGAUUACUGGCACAGCACAACAUGUUGUUGUGCUCUGUGACGUCGGCUUAAUAACAGCUUUCAGAAGUGACUGGACUCAUUGACGUUAUUUUAGUUUGUAUUUUCCUUUGGUGUAUUCUCACAUGUCAUCUGUCAUUACCUUUCUGUUCUUGUGUUCAUAAUAGAAUUAAAUCUCUUAAGUUUAGGGUUCUGAAUGUAACAAUUGUAUGAUUCCUUUUAUCAUCAAAGAAUUAAAUUUCUUACGUGUAGGGUACUGAAUGUAACUAUGAUUCCAUUAUCAUUAAAUAAUUCUUGUCACAUU